rnacentral:rRNA from 1 species
CAAUAGCGUAUAUUAAAGUUGUUGCAGUUAAAAAGCUCGUAGUUGAAUUUCUGGUCAAUUUUAGUUUCGGCUUCGGUCGGUCUAAGGUUGGCCAUCCGUCUGCAAGCUAUUCUCGUCCUUCACUGUGUCGGUUUAGCGAGCUGACAUUUUACCUUGAGAAAAUUAGAGUGUUUCAGGCAGGCUAGGCCGGAAUACAUUAGCAUGGAAUAAUGGAAUAGGACUACGGUCUCUUUGUUGGUUUGAGGGACUGCAGUAAUGAUUAAUAGGGAUAGUUGGGGGCAUUAGUAUUUAAUUGUCAGAGGUGGAAUUCUCGGAUUUGUUAAAGACUAACUUAUGCGAAAGCAUUUGCCAAGGAUGUUUUCAUUGAUCAAGAACGAAAGUUAGGGGAUCGAAGACGAUUAGAUACCGU